rnacentral:rRNA from 1 species
UAGGGAAUUUUCCACAAUGGACGAAAGUCUGAUCCAGCCAUGCCGCGUGUGUGAAGAAGGUCUUCGGAUUGUAAAGCACUUUAAGUUGGGAGGAAGGGUUGUAGAUUAAUGCUCUGCAAUUUUGACGUUACCGACAGAAUAAGCACCGGCUAACUCUGUGCCAGCAGCCGCGGUAAUACAGAGGGUGCAAGCGUUAAUCGGAAUUACUGGGCGUAAAGCGCGCGUAGGUGGUUUGUUAAGUUGGAUGUGAAAUCCCCGGGCUCAACCUGGGAACUGCAUCCAAACUGGCAAGCUAGAGUAUGGUAGAGGGUGGUGGAAUUUCCUGUGUAGCGGUGAAAUGCGUAGAUAUAGGAAGGAACACCAGUGGCGAAGGCGACCACCUGGACUGAUACUGACACUGAGGUGCGAAAGCGUGGGGAGCAAACAGGAUUAGAUACCCCCGUAGUCCCUGAGCGGGCUGGCAAGGCGCAU